UACGUAGGGUGCGAGCGUUAAUCGGAAUUACUGGGCGUAAAGUGUGCGCAGGCGGCUUCGCAAGUCGAGUGUGAAAUCCCCGAGCUUAACUUGGGAAUUGCGCUCGAAACUACGGAGCUGGAGUGUGGCAGAGGAAGGUGGAAUUCCACGUGUAGCGGUGAAAUGCGUAGAGAUGUGGAGGAACACCGAUGGCGAAGGCAGCCUUCUGGGCCAACACUGGCGCUCAUGCACGAAAGCGUGGGGAGCAAACAGG
rnacentral:rRNA from 1 species